rnacentral:lncRNA from 1 species
CAUUACCUAGCUGUACUGCAUAGGCAUUUGUUAUCCCUUUCUAGUAAUACAUUAGGACUUCUGAAUUUACAUACUGGUAAAUUACAAGAAAUUGUUAUGGUAAAUAAAUUGUUACUGUAAGUGAAUGGUGACAUUUUCUGGUUUUUGAUCUUUGUAAUAAUAUUUCUUUCCAGAGUGAUACAAGACUACUAGAAGUACUUGGGACCCCUGGACUUAAAGGCCAGAAGGGAGAUGUUGGUCAGAAAGGAGAAUUGGGAAUGACAGGCGCGAAAGGAGAAAAGGGAGAGCCUUCUGAAAAAGGGGACAAGGGAGAUCCAGUAAGUAUAGCAUGUUUUGAACUGAUGUGAAUAAUUUACAUUCAAGAUUAUUUCCAUACUAUAU